CUACGGGACGCUCCAGUGAGGAAUAUUGGUCAAUGGGCGCGAGCCUGAACCAGCCAUCCCGCAUGCAGGAUGACGGCCCUAUGGGUUGUAAACUGCUUUUCUAUGCCAAGAAACCUGAUUACGUGUAAUCAGUUGCCGGUAGCAUAGGAAUAAGCAUCGGCUAACUCCGUGCCAGCAGCCGCGGUAAUACGGAGGAUGCAAGCGUUAUCCGGAUUCAUUGGGUUUAAAGGGUGCGCAGGUGGGCUUGUAAGUCAGUGGUGAAAUGCUGCCGCUUAACGGUAGAACUGCCAUUGAUACUGCGAGUCUUGAGUAUGGUUGAGGUAGGCGGAAUGUGUUGUGUAGCGGUGAAAUGCAUAGAUAUGACACAGAACGCCAAUUGCGAAGGCAGCUUACUAAGCCAUUACUGACGCUGAGGCACGAAAGCGUGGGGAGCGAACAGGAUUAGAUACCCGUGUAGUC
rnacentral:rRNA from 1 species